GAUGAACGCUGGCGGCGUGCCUAAUACAUGCAAGUCGAGCGAACAGACGAGGAGCUUGCUCCUCUGACGUUAGCGGCGGACGGGUGAGUAACACGUGGAUAACCUACCUAUAAGACUGGGAUAACUUCGGGAAACCGGAUCUAAUACCGGAUAAUAUAUUGAACCGCAUGGUUCAAUAGUGAAAGACGGUUUUGCUAUCACUUAUAGAUGGAUCCGCGCCGCAUUAGCUAGUUGGUAAGGUAACGGCUUACCAAGGCAACGAUGCGUAGCCGACCUGAGAGGGUGAUCGGCCACACUGGAACUGAGACACGGUCCAGACUCCUACGGGAGGCAGCAGUAGGGAAUCUUCCGCAAUGGGCGAAAGCCUGACGGAGCAACGCCGCGUGAGUGAUGAAGGUCUUCGGAUCGUAAAACUCUGUUAUUAGGGAAGAACAAAUGUGUAAGUAACUAUGCACGUCUUGACGGUACCUAAUCAGAAAGCCACGGCUAACUACGUG
rnacentral:rRNA from 1 species